UCCUCCUACGGGGCGCAGCAGUGAGGAAUAUUGGUCAAUGGCCGGAAGGCUGAACCAGCCAAGCCGCGUGAGGGAGGAAGGCGCAGAGCGUCGCAGACCUCUUUUGCCGGGGGACAAAAGGCCGGACUCGUCCGGUCCUGAGGGUACCCGGAGAAAAAGCAUCGGCUAACUCCGUGCCAGCAGCCGCGGUAAUACGGAGGAUGCGAGCGUUAUCCGGAUUUAUUGGGUUUAAAGGGUGCGUAGGCGGUCCGGAAAGUCAGCGGUAAAAGCCCGGGGCUCAACCCCGGCGAGCCGUUGAAACUGUG
rnacentral:rRNA from 1 species